AUGUGUGAAGAUGAACAACUUAUGCAACUUACAAUUAUCAGAAUGUUGUACUUUUGUAUUUGUAGUUGUAUGCUGUUGUACUGAGUUGUACUGACCUAGGGAGGUAUUUCCAUGGAUGUGUUUCUGUACUACCAUGAAUGUGGUGUUGUGGUGAAGGCAGUAACGCUAUGUAGGUAGAUGAGGCUGCCUGGAAGAGAGAUGCUGAUAUCCAUAUAAUUAUCUCUCAUGUUCAUCGUUACAAGGAAGACCUGGUUUUGAUUCCUCACAUGGGUACAAAGUGUGAAGCCCAUUUCUGGUGUCCCACGUCAUGAUAUUGCUGGAAUAUUACUAAAACUCACUCACUAAACUCACUCACUCACUCCCAGCUGUAUGGCUACAAGUGUGAUGACAGCUGUGUGGGUAACCUCCCUUUGUCCCUGCUGUGGUCUCCAGGAAAAACUGCAUGAUGACACUGGCAUAGGACUAUGAGGUAGCGUUCCCUCAACUGCGACCCCCUCGACUGACGGCCUCAGAUACUGACACAGCCUUCUAUACCUGAGCGUGUCUAACCUCCAGACCACAGGUGAUUCAUCACUUGCAUACUGCUCUCUGAUUGGCUGAUGACUUGGUAAACAGUUGGCGGGUGGAUGACAGACCGCUGUGACACUAGGCACUGUUCAAGUUCAAGCAUGAAAACCUUAUGCUGUGUUAUGCCUGAAACAAUCAAUCCACUCAGCUUAUGACAAAGAAACAUCUAUAUCACCUGUGAUUACCAGAGGAUAUGAGGCUGGUCAUGCAUUCGGCCAGUUAAUCAACACCUAGGUAACACGUCUUGAGACGUCCCUUCCAGGCCUAUAUCAGCUGAUGUGGCUUCCAGCAGUGCGAAGGCCACCAGUCCACUGAGUAUAUCCAAACUUCUGCAUGUCUUAACACCUUGGUGGAUAUAGAAAACAUCAGUGGAUACAGAACAAGCCCAGACUGAUAUACUUCACAUGAUCCGUCCUUCUGUCCUAUAUCACAUCUGCAUAAGAUGAAGGUGUACGCGUGACCUCCCCAGUGGUGCUAGUUAAGGGUGUGUAAACCAUACAAAGACAAAAGUGGUGCAUGAUACAGGUUUGGAUUAUUUUAUAUACUUUGUAUGUGGUUCAUGUAAUCCACAUUUGAGAUUGUUGAAUAAAAUAUGUCUUUAGAAACA